GUCUGUUGUCUGGUCCUGUUGUCAAGGCUCGUCUCAAACUCCCGGCCUCCAGCGAUCCUCCCUUUUUGGCCUCCCAAGAUGCUGGUAUUACAAGCAGAGCCACUGUGGCCCACCUGGACUCCUUUUUAUAGGAGACAGUUCCCUAGGCAGAGACUGGGCUUGAAACAGGUAACUUACAAGGCAUCUUGUGAUCAUAAGAGAAUAAUUCCAUUUGAAAUCAGCAGCUGAAGUCCACGUGAAUAAUUAAAUCUUUCACUUGUGUUAUUUUCACAGGGGAGACAGUUUUGUAUUCUUAAGAAGGCAGGAAGCUUUAUUUUUACUGUUAUGACCAUAGCUGGGCAAGUAUGCAAAUGGAAAGUGAUACCUAUCGUCAAAGUAUUGAGAAUGUUCCUGGGAUAAUAGUCACUAAGGAAGAGGAUAGAGACUACAACUGAAUGAGAUGGACAUAGAGAUGGCCAAGAGAAGCAUCGUCCUCUGCCAAGUCAUGGGGUCAUGUGUGGUGGAUGGUGACAUGGUGCCCUCAGCUCAGAGUCCAGCUGGGGGCUCAGAAGCAAGGUAACUGAAGGGAGAGAAUUAUUUGAGCACCUAGUGAGUGUAAGAUGCUUCACAUUUAUUAUUUCACCUAACCUCUACACAACCUGAUGUGGAUAUUACUGCUCUCAAGCUGGGAUUCAAAGCAGGUUUUUCCAACCUCAGAAUUCUUGCCAGACUGACUGGCCUUCUGGGUCUGGAACAUAAAUGUUUUCAGGCAGUGUAAUGUGCAAGAGGUCAGAGCCUAAAGCUUUGUUAUUUUUUAAUUUCUCCACCAUGUCAACUCGGUUACAGGGAAGCCCACCAGAAGGAAUUGUACCCAUUUUGGGGCUACACUACCCCAAUGCUAUGCUGCAGCCAAGCUGAACUUCUAAGUUUCUAAAUGUAACUCACUUACCUUCAGGCCUUUGUACAGGGAGUUCUUUUUGCCUGAAAUACCUUCUGACGUCUUAACAUUACGCUUAGAUGUCAGUUACAAAAAGCUUUUUCUAGACUCUCUCAUAUUUCCCACUCCACACCCCUAUAUCUCUUCCCACCAAUGUACUAGGGUAGGUAUCCUGCUAGGUGCUUCCACUGCACCCUCUACUUCUUCCCUAAUGAUUACCACUAUAUUGUAAUGGCUUAAUUUCUUUUUCCUACACCCAGAUAAAAAUGUACAUGAAGGUGGAGCCUUGUCUAUCUAGUUCGUUAUUGUUAUUCGUGUCUGGUAUGUGGAAAGGGCUCAGUGAGUAUUUCUUGAUGGAAUGUUGAAUGAAUAAUGGGAUUGAAAAUAUAAAAGGCAGAUGAAACUUAGAAGAGGGACCAAGUUUACUUCAAUUGCUACUCCUCCUCACUGGGAGGUUUAUCUUCCAAGGAUAAAACUUUGGAGGUUUUAUUAAAUUAGAAAAGUGAUUAUUUUAUACAUGGUUAUCGUCAUCAACUGAUAGGCUGUUGUUUCCCCCUUACUCAGCAUCCUACUAAGGCUACUCAGAACCAAGAAGAAAGGGUAGUUUUAAUUUAAGUUCAUAUUUUUGUAUGUACAGAGAUUUAAAAAAUAACAGCUGCAUUAAAAUGGGAACAUGUACCCGUAGGGAAUUAUUUGCAAACAAAUUUAAAUAUUAAUUAUGUCUGGUUGCCAAGAACUCAGGUUAAAUUAGUGUCAAUGACCUCUAAAUUACUAAAUAUCCUAUCACCAUUUUAUAAGCCAUUUAAUCACCUCUUUUCAAAGAAGAAGAGCACCAUUGGUAGUAUCUUUAAAGGAAGAUACAUUUUAUUGUUUAGAAAAUAAUUACUAUUUAGAUAUCAAGGAGAACAUAGUGUUUGUUAAAAAUUUUUUAAUUUUGUGUACUGUUCAUUAGUUACCUCUUACUGCUUACCAAAUUACUCCAGUUUAGCACUUACAAACAACAAACAUUUAUUUCACACAGUUUCUGAAGUCAGGAAUCUAAGAGUGGCUUAACAAGGUAGUCUGGCUCAGGGUCUCUCAUGAGGUUCUUGCCAGACUGUCAUCUGGGACUACCAUCAUAACCAUCUGGGCCUGGAGAAUUUGCUGUCAAGUUCAUCCACAUGGCCAGCAAGCAGGCCUCAGUUCCUCACUGGCAGGCGGUGGGAGGCUUCAGUUCCUUGUCACCUAGGCUUCUCCAUAGGCUACUCAUGACAAGGCAAGCUGACUUACCCCCUUCAUGAAAGAUCUGAGGGAGAGAGAGCCCAAGAAAGAAUCCACAGUCUUGUAUAAGAAAUACUCUGUAUACUGCGUUCAUCUGUAAAAUGAAGGUGUUGGACCAAAUGAUCUUUAACAUUCUUUCCAAUACUGAAAUUCUGAGAUUUUCCUAUGAUGUUGAUGUGUGAUUGAGACUUAAAUUUGUGCUUUCAUGUGGAAUACUAUGAAGUAAAAUCCUGCUUUUGUACUUUUUUUCUGA